rnacentral:rRNA from 1 species
AGCUAGCCGUCGAAGGUGGGACAAAUGAUUAGGGUGAAGUCGUAACAAGGUAGCCGUAUCGGAAGGUGCGGCUGGAUCACCUCCUUUCUAAGGA